rnacentral:rRNA from 1 species
UGCCAGGCAGUGCGGUUACACGAUUUAUAUAAAUUAAUUUUAUUAAUUUUUAAAUAAUUAUUUUAAUAAAUAUUUUAUUUAAUUUUAUUUAUUUGGUGAAAUAUUAAAUAAAUAAAUAUAAAAUUUUUAAAUUAAUUUAGUUUAAUAAAAAAUAUAAUAAACUAGAAUUAGAUACUCUAUUAUUAUUUAAUAAAAUAUAAAAUUAAGAUAUUAAAAAUUAAAUUUCUAAAUUUAAUAAAUUUGGCGGUAUUUUAACUAAUUAGAAAAAUUUGUUUUUAUAAUUUGAUAGUCCACAAAAAUAAUUACUUAAUAUUUAUACUUAUAUACUAUUGUUUUAAAAUUAAAUUUAAAAAUUUAAUUUAUAAUUAAUUUAUAAUUAAAAAAUUCAAAUCAAAGUAUAGUUUAUUAUUAAGAAAAAAUGAAUUUCAAUUCAAAAUAAAUAUUUAAUUAUUUAUUUAAUAGAAUUUAAAAGUAAAUUUAAUUAAAUUAAUUAAGUUGAAAAAGUUAUAAAAUAUGUACAAAUUGCCCGUCAUUCUUUAAUUUAAGACAAGUCGUAACAAAGUAAAUGUAUUGGAAAAUAUAUUUUGAAUUU